UGCCAGUGAUAAACUGGAGGAAGGUGGGGAUGACGUCAAGUCAUCAUGGCCCUUACGACCAGGGCUACACACGUGCUACAAUGGCGCAUACAAAGAGAAGCGACCUCGCGAGAGCAAGCGGACCUCAUAAAGUGCGUCGUAGUCCGGAUUGGAGUCUGCAACUCGACUCCAUGAAGUCGGAAUCGCUAGUAAUCGUGGAUCAGAAUGCCACGGUGAAUACGUUCCCGGGCCUUGUACACACCGCCCGUCACACCAUGGGAGUGGGUUGCAAAAGAAGUAGGUAGCUUAACCUUCGGGAGGGCGCUUACCACUUUGUGAUUCAUGACUGGGGUGAAGUCGUAACAAGGUAACCGUAGGGGAACCUGCGGUUGGAUCACCUCCUUACCUUAAAGAA
rnacentral:rRNA from 11 species